rnacentral:rRNA from 1 species
AUGAACGCUGGCGGCGUGCCUAAUACCUGCAAGUCGAGCGCACAGACGAGGAGCUUGCUCCUCUGACGUUAGCGGCGGACGGGUGAGUAACACGUGGAUAACCUACCUAUAAGACUGGGAUAACUUCGGGAAACCGGAGCUAAUACCGGAUAAUAUAUUUAACCGCAUGGUUCAAUAGUGAAAGACGGUUUUGCUUUCACUUAUAGAUGGAUCCGCGCCGCAUUAGCUAGUUGGUAAGGUAACGGCUUACCAAGGCAACGAUGCGUAGCCGACCUGAGAGGGUGAUCGGCCACACUGGAACUGAGACACGGUCCAGACUCCUACGGGAGGCAGCAGUAGGGAAUCUUCCGCAAUGGGCGAAAGCCUGACGGAGCAACGCCGCGUGAGUGAUGAAGGUCUUCGGAUCGUAAAACUCUGUUAUUAGGGAAGAACAAAUGUGUAAGUAACUAUGCACGUCUUGACGGUACCUAAUCAGAAAGCCACGGCUAACUACGUG